GACAGAGGGGGCUAGCGUUGCUCGGAAUCACUGGGCGUAAAGGGUGCGUAGGCGGGUCUUUAAGUCAGGGGUGAAAUCCUGGAGCUCAACUCCAGAACUGCCUUUGAUACUGAAGAUCUUGAGUUCGGGAGAGGUGAGUGGAACUGCGAGUGUAGAGGUGAAAUUCGUAGAUAUUCGCAAGAACACCAGUGGCGAAGGCGGCUCACUGGCCCGAUACUGACGCUGAGGCACGAAAGCGUGGGGAGCAAACAGG
rnacentral:rRNA from 1 species